rnacentral:rRNA from 1 species
UUUACACUGCACGACAGUGCGAUAGGGGGAUCCCAAGUGCGCAGGCAUAGAGCCUGCGCUUUUCUGCACCGUAAGGCGGUGCCAGAAUAAGGGCUGGGCAAGACCGGUGCCAGCCGCCGCGGUAAUACCGGCAGCCCGAGUGAUGGCCGAUCUUAUUGGGCCUAAAGCGUCCGUAGCUGGCCGCGCAAGUCCAUCGGGAAAUCCACCCGCUCAACGGGUGGGCGUCCGGUAGAAACUGCGUGGCUUGGGACCGGAAGGCGCGACGGGUACGUCCGGGGUAGGAGUGAAAUCCCGUAAUCCUGGACGGACCGCCGAUGGCGAAAGCACGUCGCGAGAACGGAUCCGACAGUGAGGGACGAAAGCCAGGGUCUCGAACCGGAUUAGAUACCCGGGUAGUCCUAGCCGUAAACAAUGUCUGCUAGGUGUGGCUCCCACUACGAGUGGGUGCUGUGCCGUAGGGAAGCCGCUAAGCAGA